rnacentral:rRNA from 1 species
AACGAACGCUGGCGGCAGGCCUAACACAUGCAAGUCGAACGCCGUAGCAAUACGGAGUGGCAGACGGGUGAGUAACACGUGGGAACGUACCUUUCGGUUCGGAAUAACUCAGGGAAACUUGAGCUAAUACCGGAUACGUGCGAGAGCAGAAAGAUUUAUCGCCGAAAGAUCGGCCCGCGUCCGAUUAGCUUGUUGGUGAGGUAAUGGCUCACCAAGGCGACGAUCGGUAGCUGGUCUGAGAGGAUGAUCAGCCACACUGGGACUGAGACACGGCCCAGACUCCUACGGGAGGCAGCAGUGGGGAAUAUUGGACAAUGGGCGAAAGCCUGAUCCAGCCAUGCCGCGUGAGUGAUGAAGGCCUUAGGGUUGUAAAGCUCUUUUGUCCGGGAAGAUAAUGACGGUACCGGAAGAAUAAGCCCGGCUAACUUCGUGCCAGCAG